CCUGAAGGCAGCUGAAGCCCCUGGAGUACUCAUAUAGGAUCCAACUCCUGGAAAGAACGAUGUAUACAGCCUGUGGGGAAAAGGAGCCUUCAGUGGAAAGGAAAGAGAGUGACCAUGGAGAAGCAGCAGAGAAAGCAUUGUGGACUGAUGGCAGUCCUCCGUUCCCUUCUUCUGCUUGAGAGAAGGAGGUGGAUGGGGAUAAGUGAGACAGAUGGCAGCAGGAGGACAGUCUGACAGAAUGGUCUCUGACACUGGAGCACUGUUGAACUAAAGGCGUUUCACUGAAUUCCUCCAUGUAGAAAAAUGGCACCCACUGAAUUCAUCAACACUUGCUGCACAUUUAUGGAGAUCAAAAUU
rnacentral:lncRNA from 1 species